UACGGGAGGCAGCAGUGGGGAAUAUUGCACAAUGGGCGAAAGCCUGAUGCAGCUAUGCCGCGUGUAUGAAGAAGGCCUUAGGGUUGUAAAGUACUUUCAUCGGGGAGGAAAAAACAAAACUAAUAAUUUUAUUUCUUGACGUUACCCGAAAAAGAAGCACCGGCUAACUCCGUGCCAGCAGCCGCGGUAAUACGGAGGGUGCUAGCGUUAAUCAGAAUUACUGGGCGUAAAGAGCACGUAGGUGGUUUUUUUAAAGUCAGAUGUGAAAUCCCUGGGCUUAACCUAGGAACUGCAUUUUGAAAACUGAAAUACUAGAGUAUCGUAGAGGGAGGUAGAAUUCUAGGUGUAGCGGUGAAAUGCGUAGAUAUCUGGAGGAAUACCUGUGGCGAAAAGCGGCCUCCUAAACGAAUACUGACACUGAGGUGCGAAAAGCGUGGGGAGCAAAACAGGGAUUAGAUACC
rnacentral:rRNA from 1 species